UACGUAGGGGGCAAGCGUUGUCCGGAUUCAUUGGGCGUAAAGAGCGUGUAGGCGGCCAGGUAGGUCGGUUGUGAAAACUCGAGGCUUAACCUCGAGAUGUCAUCGGAAACCAUCUGGCUAGAGUCCGGAAGAGGAGAGUGGAAUUCCUGGUGUAGCGGUGAAAUGCGCAGAUAUCAGGAAGAACACCAAUGGCGAAAGCAGCUCUCUGGGACGGUACUGACGCUGAGACGCGAAAGCGUGGGGAGCGAACAGG
rnacentral:rRNA from 1 species